AGAGUUUGAUCAUGGCUCAGAACGUACGCUGGCGGCACGCCUUAUACAUGCAAGUCGAACGCAGUAGCAAUACUGAGUGGCAAACGGGUGAGUAUGAUGUGGGAAUCUGCCUUUUGGUUUGGAAUAACACGAGGAAACUUGUGCUAAUACCGGAUAAGCCUUCACAGGGAAAGUUUUAUACGCCGAAAGAUGAGCCCGCACUUGAUUAGCUAGUUGGUGAGGUAAAAGCUCACCAAGGCAACGAUCAAUAGCUGUUCUUAGAGGAAGACCAGCCACAUUGGGACUGAGACACGGCCCAGACUCCUACGGGAGGCAGCAGUAAGGAAUCUUGCACAAUGGGGGAAACCCUGAUGCAGCGAUGCCGCGUGAGUGAAGAAGGCCCUUGGGUUGUAAAACUCUUUCGUCGGGGAAGAAAAUGACUGUACCCGAAUAAGAAGGUCCGGCUAACUUCGUGCCAGCAGCCGCGGUAAUACGAAGGGACCUAGCGUAGUUCGGAAUUACUGGGCUUAAAGAGCUCGUAGGUGGUUAAAAAAGUUGGUGGUGAAAUCCCAGAGCUUAACUCUGGAACUGCCAUCAAAACUUUUUAGCUAGAGUAUGAUAGAGGAAAGCAGAAUUUCUAGUGUAGAGGUGAAAUUCGUAGAUAUUAGAAAGAAUACCAAUUGCGAAGGCAGCUUUCUGGAUCAUUACUGACACUGAGGAACGAAAGCAUGGGUAGCGAAGAGGAUUAGAUACCCUCGUAGUCCAUGCCGUAAACGAUGUGUGUUAGACGUUGGAAAUUUAUUUUCAGUGUCGCAGCGAAAGCGAUAAACACACCGCCUGGGGAGUACGACCGCAAGGUUAAAACUCAAAUGAAUUGACGGGGACCCGCACAAGUAGUGGAGCAUGUGGUUUAAUUCGAAGAUACGCGCAGAACCUUACCAACACUUGACAUGUUCGUCGCGACUUUAAGAGAUUAAAGUUUUCGGUUCGGCCGGACGAAACACAGGUGCUGCAUGGCUGUCGUCAGCUCGUGUCGUGAGAUGUUGGGUUAAGUCCCGCAACGAGCGCAACCCUCACUUUUAGUUGCCAUCAUUAAGUUGGGCACUCUGAAAGAACUGCCAGUGAUAAGCUGGAGGAAGGUGGGGAUGACGUCAAGUCCUCAUGGCCCUUACGUGUUGGGCUACACACGUGCUACAAUGGUAUCUACAACAGGAAGCAAAACGGCGACGUUAAGCAAAUCCUUAAAAGAUACCUCAGUUCGGAUUGCACUCUGCAACUCGAGUGCAUGAAGCUGGAAUUACUAGUAAUCGUGGAUCAGCGUGCCACGGUGAAUGCGUUCCCGGGUCUUGUACACACCG
rnacentral:rRNA from 1 species